AGUGGCGGACGGGUGAGUAACGCGUGAGAAUCUGCCUUCAGGUCGGGGACAACAUUUGGAAACGAAUGCUAAUACCCGAUGUGCCGAGAGGUGAAAGGUUAACUGCCUGAAGAUGAGCUCGCGUCCGAUUAGCUAGUUGGUGGUGUAAGAGACCCCCAAGGCGACGAUCGGUAGCUGGUUUGAGAGGACAAUCAGCCACACUGGGACUGAGACACGGCCCAGACUCCUACGGGAGGCAGCAGUGGGGAAUUUUCCGCAAUGGGCGAAAGCCUGACGGAGCAAUACCGCGUGAGGGACGAAGGCCUGUGGGUUGUAAACCUCUUUUCUCAGGGAAGAAGAUCUGACGGUACCUGAGGAAUCAGCAUCGGCUAACUCCGUGCCAGUAGCCGCGGUAAGACGGAGGAUGCAAGCGUUAUCCGGAAUUAUUGGGCGUAAAGCGUCCGCAGGCGGUUUCGUAAGUCUGUCUUUAAAGAGUGGAGCUUAACUCCAUAAAGGGGAUGGAAACUGCGAGACUAGAGGUAGGUAGGGGUAGAAGGAAUUCCCAGUGUAGCGGUGAAAUGCGUAGAUAUUGGGAAGAACACCAGCAGCGAAGGCGUUCUACUGGACCAAACCUGACGCUCAUGGACGAAAGCUAGGGGAGCGAAAGGGAUUAGAUACCCCUGUAGUCCUAGCCGUAAACGAUGGACACUAGGUGUUGCAC
rnacentral:rRNA from 1 species